ensembl:lncRNA
ACGCGCCUUAAAUCAAAAAUGCGUAAUAGUCCAAUUCAUCUUAGGUGACUGAGAGAGAUGUGAGCCAAAAGGUGCGCACAUAAAGAUGGCAUUACAUUCGUUAUGUAAUAUCAAAUGACCGAGCGGAAUCUCUAAAGCAAUUGGUAGACACGGAGUCCUAAAACGGACAGGACACUCGAGCAGAAACAGUCGGUUUUUGUGACAUAUUUUCAGCGCAGAAGCCCGACAGAAAACCCUCAGCCACACCUUAAGUCUCAAUCGUUUUGUUUUUCUUCUGCUAAGAGUUCCAGUGGUUUCGACGAGAUGCGCGAAGCCCCGCAAGUUCACUCCGGCGAUAACGUUCAAAACCCCCUAAAAAAAAGAAAUGUAAAACGGUCCAAUCUGAGUUUCCGGUUGGCCGGACCCACCCUGUGCUGCUCGACGCUCCGCGGGGCUCCCUCCCCGGUCUCUCUCUCCGGUCCAACUCCUGCCUUCAAACCGGCUUCUCACUCCGAUCAGCUGGCUGGGUCGUGACGUCACUAGCCACCAUCGGCCAAUCAGUUGCGAACCGGAAACACACAGUGGUGACGCCCAGUGCCCACGCACGAUGACGACCCGGGUGCGUUGACCAAUGAGAGCGCGAUCGUAUCCAAAGAAUGAGGCGGGCGCUAGAAAUAAUGACCAAUGAGAUUGCAUCUGCCCAUGAGAGGCGUUUAUGGUCUGACCUAUUAGAUGUCGGGAUGUGUGGGGAACUUUUCUACACAAGCAGGUUACAGAUUUAAUUGAAUACACUGUAUGACUGUUAAAUAAUUAUAAAUAACUGCAAUAACGCAGUGUGCUAACUACAGAAAUGUAAUGACUUCACCUGUAAAAAAUAUUUGUAGCUUGCGUGUCCCACCAACUGUUUAUUUCACAUACUUUCCAUUCUGUUUGCCCAAUGUCAGAUUAUUAUCUGAUUACUACAACUUCCAGGUUAUAAAGUUCACGUUACAAAUUAACUUUGCACUUGUGCUACUUAAUGCAAUUGGACGCAAAUGUAAAUGCUUACCAUUAUGCAAUUACGGUGUUAGUAAACAGUAUGGUGCUGUUCCCCAAAAAUCCAUGUGGAACCCAAACUCUUAAGCAUGUUUAACUGUUUUACAGUGCACUUUGCAUCCUCUUUUAAGCAAACAAAGCUUUCUCGUGCUUGGCUUAAAUUGGGUUCUACGGACAAAAAAGUAAUUGCUUUUGUUCUGGAUAGAAACCUCAAUUGAAGGCUUGCGUGUUGAAGUCCACAUUUGGUGUAUUUCAUUUUCCCUAUUGAAUUGAUGAAAAUAAUUAACGAUUUACUUGCCAGCAGUGGAAGCAGCUCUCUUGAGGAUUCAGGGUAAAAUGAAAAUGCACAUGACUUUAUUUGAUAAAUCAGUUGAGAGGAUUAGCCACGCCACUGUCUGGAUGAAGUACAGCAACAGAGUAUGACAAGCACAGAGUAGGGGGUCUUUUGAUACUGAAAAGCAGCGCCUGGUUCUGCAUAAUUGAAGACACCUGAAGUCUUCUCAGGCCACUGUAAUGCAUGCAUGAAAAGAACCAGAUCUUGCAUGAAGUUACUCAUUACUUUUUAAUGUGGUGGACGUGCAUGUCAGCCACGCACAUUGCCGCAAAAUAGCAUGAAUUUUAAGCUUGAGGGUCAAUAGAUGGAUCUACGUUCCUGUUCCCACGCAGCGUAAACACACAAGCGUUGUGUGAAUGUUUACUCGUAUCAGCCUGCGUGUGUUCAGUGUACAUGUAUGUGUUCAUGUCCGAAGAGAAUCAAAACAUUGCAGUUCAUACAGCGCUUUAUCAGACACUGUUUUGGCUGAGGCACGGAGCGGUUACGCAGAUCAUAGGCAACAACCUGUCAACCCAUUUGUUGUAACACUUCAAACAGGCAGUAACACAAUGCUCCCUCAGCACGGUGACACAGCCUUUAUUCCGUGUCUCAAUUUAUGGUGAUGCAUUCACAAUGCUAGGCAAGAAUCCACCACAGGCACACACCGCCCAAGAAAGCAGUCCUCCCUCCCCUCAGUAUUUAUUGCAUGGGUCUGAUCCAUACCUUGAGACGGCUGCAAUUAACUUAUGCGAAGGCUCCUUUAAAUAGAUCCAGGUUGAAGGAUAUAAGAACAUCAAUAAACCUCAGUGAUAACUGCAAUAAUUAUAUUUCCUGCAAUAUAUACAAACAAUAUAUUGGAUGAUACAACAAACCACAAAAUGUCCCUGUCCCCAGAUGAGGAGUCAUUUGAGCAGACAUGGAGCGAGGAUGAAUUGAACCGAACGGGUAAUGACGUUGGAUGCUUGAAAUUGAAGGUGGGACAACAGAAGUGGAACACAAGCGUCAUACUGACUCAAAAUUACAUGAAGCUGUUAAACUUCAUUGAUGUUCUCAGUCAGUGUUAGUCAAAAGUAUAUGUUUUGACUAUAUAUUUAAAUUUAGGACGAAGUAUCCACUUGAAUCCCCCAAACGAUGGUGUUUCGGCAGCACGUUGAAAUGGUUUGCUCAAAUACAAUCGGCCAUAAAUAUCCAUUUCAGCAUCUAAAACCUUGUUGUUCCUCAGAUAAGACAUUUUUUUUACUUUGGUGAUUCACGUUUUACAGAACGCCCAACAGAUAAUUAUUUGAUUUAGAAACUAGAAUGACGUGAAAACACAUUUACUUUAACUGAACAGAUCUUUAAAUUGAACUACAGCACAAACACCACAUUUAGUUUAGUAAUCCGAAUUUGCAAUCAGCAGCCUCUUAGUUGUACCAUAUCUGUUUAAUUUAAUUUAAUUUAAAGAACAUUAAUGGCCCUAAACAUUCACUAACUUGUGUGCAUCAUCUCUACAUCAGUAAUCGAAUACAGAGUUCAGAGAGUGUGUUAAUAUAUGAAUAAGUAAAAUCUCAUCAAUACUGUGGUGAGACGAUAACCAGUUUGAUUUUCUCCAGAGCUUCUGAUGCAUGUAAGCUAAAGCAAAUGACUAUUUAGUAAGUAUUUGAGGCAGUGUACCUCCACUGCUAUCUUACAAAACCAGAGUGAAUGAGCAGUAUUGUAUUGCAGCAAUGGAGAGGGCGGCAUUCUUCCUUUUAGAGGAGACAUAUCAAGCGUCACAGAGUAGCAAGCCGUGGAGCUUUUCUUUAGGUAUGACGCAUUUAAGUCUACCAUCGGAAACACGAUGCUGCACCUUCUUUUGUCUCUCGUAACCACUCAGCACAGACUCAAGUAGAAUGUUCUGAUUUAAGAGUACAACCUGUUAGUUGGAACCACAUAUUUUAUAUCUUUAUACAUCUCUUGCAUAAAAUGCACGCUCUGCUUUUCUUCUUUCCUCCUAUUUCCACCUUGCUUCAAUUGAACAGUAGGACGUCAUAAAACCUGUGGCAGGCAAGAAGCAAUCUGGAAACUGCUCAGGCCAGGUAAUGGCUCUCCACAGUCAAACAUUUGCAGUCACACGCUUACAACAGGCGGGGGGGAGACUUUAUGCUCCGAGUGAGCGAGAGAAACUUACGCUGAUGAAAUGUCUGAAGCCAUAAGUUAGAGGGUUCAACACUGACAGACUGCAGAGGAUGUUACCGAAACUCUCCUGACCAUUCAAGAUCAUGUAUUAUGAUCCAUGGAAGUGAUAAAUACAUUUUAAUAAAGAAGUUAGCAUGACCUUUUUUCUAAAUGAAGUAAAUUGAGACGCUACAGGCAAUUAUAACACAGUUUGGCUUAUUUAUUCAAUUAUUAGGUUAGAAUUCUUUGUGCAGGUGAGAGUCAGGGUCUAGGUCACAUAUGCCAAAUUUGGCCCGCCGGAACGUCCUGUGCGGCCUGCCGCCGGAGUGUGGACGGCCCGUGACUUUGCUAUUGUGAGGGAUGAGGGACAAGAGGCUGGCCACCGAGGCCACCGUACUGUCCGCUGGUCAGCGCCACCCCUCCCUGUGAUUUAUAUGGUCUGGCCCGCGUUCCAUCGGAGUGGGCAGUAUCGGGCCCUUCAUGACCUGUUAGAUGUCAGAGAUCACACACACACACACACACACACACACACCUAUUCUUCAGUCACUGUCUUUAUUCCACGAUGCUCUUCCUCAGAUAUUUUGAUUUUAACACACUUAUAAAGCUGUAUCCCAUCCAGCCUCUCUCUUCCCCGUAAGUAAACCUGAAUGGGCUUCCUGUGUCUAGUCCUCUUGGACAGCUAGACAUCAGAACCGGCGGGGGAGGCACCUCUGUCACUUUAAGAAAUGCCUCUGGUGAAGAGAAACUGAUUAGUAGUGCUGGCAGCCAACCACGUGGAGCGCUGUGUGGAGACCGAAGCCAAUGAGAAGCCCUGCUGGGUGGAGGUUACAAAAGCAGUCUGAACCCAAUGACUCAGCAAAGUUGGGUGCGUGUGAGAUGACACUUUACAGCAUUUUAAAGGGCCAGCGUGUUGGCUGCAGCCCUCCGAAAGAAGCUGAAAAAUGCACUUUCAAAAUCCAGCCAAGUUCUCUCUUCCUCUUUCUUGUGCAGCUCCUAAAAGUAUUUGGAGCUGGAUGGUUUGCAUAGUUGUCGGUAAAUGCCGAGCAGACUAGAAGACUAGAAGGAUGCACCCGGCUGGUUUCCCUCAAGGGCACCGUCAAACCUGGUGUGGGUGACGGGAAUACGUAUGUAUUUGUUGUCAAACGAUCCACCUUGUGCAACCUCUGUGGGCUAAACAUCUAUAAUGUUUUAUUAAGUGUUGGUUGAGUCGAUGUUCUUCGUUUUACAAAUUAAGAAUCUAGUCCAUUCGCCCAUUUUUGAUCUGUUUCAACCAGUGUGACUGGCAGACUCAUCCUCACACUGGCACACAGAUUUGCAGUUAAUAAUGAGCUGGUCCACUGGACUUUGUUAUAGAUUAGAUGACCCACAUUAUGGUCUGGCUAGGUGCCAUUCCUUCUUCCCCUCUCCACUGUAGCACUGAGCAGCAUUGUGAAGGAGCCUGGUCUGUGAGCAGCAGUGGAAACUUCCAUUAGGCCACAGGAGAAGUAUUCUCCUGAGUAUUGUUCUGGUCAGGCCUGCAACAGUCAGCAUAGCGCAGCACACUUCUGUGACAAGACGAGGCUAAAUAUAUAUACUGUGGCUAGCAGUAAUUCAGCAACGGCAGCCAUCUCCAGCAUCCCAGCUACCACUGCAAGAGGAGAAGGGGCCUCUUAAAGGCGUAGUUCAUCAUUUCAUGUCCUUAACAGAACAGAAAUAGGUUUGUUCUCUCUGUUGUCCGGGGGUUUGGAAGAAAAUAUUAUUGCUAAUACUAUCUGCCUGUUCAGCCGCAGCCAUAAAAAAAGGUUCUUAGCGGUUUCCUGUCUGAAUGGCUUCUGGCUGUAGCUUGUAUUGAACAUACAUAAGCAUUAUGAGGGUGGUAUCAAUCAAUCAGAUCAGCAAGAAAUAUGCAUGUACAAAAAAAUAGUCCAUUACUUCCUUUAGUUGCAAGGGUCACUUGCCGUAAAAAUAAACCUUGAAUUCUAAAGACUUCUUAGAGAACUUUGUCAACCUGACGUCUGCCCGUUACACUGUACCGGUGUCCUAAUAAAGGACACAAAACAUAAUUAUAUCAUGUAAAUGAACAGCAGUGUCACAGACCCAAUAGUUUUUCUAUUCAUGCUGAAAAUUCAAAUUGACAAAAAUCCAAGCAAUGCAAAAUCAACCAAGUCAUUGUUUUCGGAACAUACUUGACAAGGGUUCAGUACAUUCUGUUCAUAAGUGUGUCAGCUAUUCAAAUUUUUUUUAAAUUGAGAAUUUAGGGCAUUGGUGGGCUUAAGAAUUUGCUCUUGUAGAGAAAUGUCAGUGUGCAUAACAUUUUAACAACCGCAAAUAAAGCAUCAAAUAUCUUCCCCAGUAGAUUAGACAUUGCUCCAAAAGGGCUCUCCCUUCUGUGCUCUUGUACUUUUCCACAGUCAGUGAUCUGUAACCUCGGCCCUCGUUGGCCGUCACCUCUCCAAGUGGAGUUUGAUUGUUCCAGGAAAUGGACCUGGUUGAACCCUGCGCCGUUUAAGAAGUCACUUACUUCCUUCGUGGCUCGAUCCAGAAAAAGGCUGCUUGCUCAUUGAUCCAUGAUCCAUCUGUGAUCCUUCAUAACCUUGUGAUGUCAACCACACUUGUUCAUGUAACUCUGACCUGGAGUAACCCCAAGGAGAAAAGGAUAUUUGUAUGCAUAGUCAUAGCCGAGAUCAACGUCUGAAGUGCUGUUGCUGCAGAUUUCUUUUAUUAAUGAAUUACGCAUUUCCUUAUUCUAACAGCUCCUUAUUUCGCACUGCAGAUUAGGAAUUCUUAACCUUUUUUUGUGUGAGGAGGCAAUGCCAGAAUUCCUGCAAAACAGCAUUUCCACAAGGUUUAUCUUGGUUGCCACAUGCAGGGCCAAGGCCUACUUACUGAUAUGAUUAGCCUGGCUGGUGGAAAAGGAACACAUUAUCCUUAGACACCCUGAUCCAACCUCCACUCUUUCCAAACACCCUCAAUGUGACUGCUGAAGCUAAUAUUUGGAGACACUCUGGCAGAACUGUGGCCGUUGGAAGGGAUGACAUCACUGCAACAGGGGGACUUGGAGUGGAUACGUCGUAGUGACAAGUGGUAGCUAUUAGAGGCGACAGGCCGCUCUCGGGCUCUCAUUUUCUCAUGCGUCAAAGUGCCAGGGCUUGUUUUGUCACACCAGCAGCAUAAAUAAUAAUAUCUCCUCAAACCUUUCGUCACACCAAGAAAUCUCACUCUCAUUGGGUCAGUUUGUAGGGAUCAAAAAGUACCUCCGGCGAUACGCUGACAUAUCUGCUUUCCAAGCCGGGGACACCAUGUGACUGUAUUGCAGCAGACACAUCAGCAAGAUCCUUCAGCCCCCAACUGGCACUCGGUUUUCCAACGUGCACUCUCACGGAUCAAUAACCUGUUACAUAACUUUCUGGUUUGGACCGGAGGGCAGAUUCCAGCUGACUGGAACAUGUGACAGGACUUUGACUAUGUGUUGACCCACAUUUCCCCUUCCUUUCGAGAUCCCUCCCUCCAUCUCCUCCUCCCACCAUGUCCCUCCUUCAGCCCAGGCCCCUUUCUAACCCUUCACACCCGUCGGGAGAGCGGUCAUGGAGGCAGCCGGAUCCCAGGCUUGGUCAGGCCUUUCUGCAACAGGCCCGGUCAUGUGACACAAGCGAAGCAAAAGCUGCCGGCUGAGCAGCAGCAGCUUUUGCUUUUGACAAAUGACAUAAUGAGGGUGGUUGUGGAGAAUGUCUGACUGUAUAUUCCAGACAGAUAAAGUGUUAUCGCUUAAAGUCUUGGCAGGAAUCUUUGUGUGCGCUUUUUAAAAACGUUUUGCUAAGUAUUACAGUAAUGAGAUUGUUUUUUUUGGUGAACUUUGGCCACAGGUGUGGGGAGGAGGUCGUGCUGCAUUCAAAAGAUGUCAGCUAAAUAUGAAGAGCGGAAAAAACAGUUGUUCCGACUUGUGUGCGAUUAUGUGGGAGCUUCUCCACCUGCCCGCCUUGUCACACCACUGUUGACUGGCUUAAAAAGGGACUUGGUACAUUGGAGAUUGUAUAUCACAAUGGUGGCACAAAAUGUUUGGAGGACCUACCUGGUCUUGAUUGUUUAAAAAUAUACGCAACUUUGCAAUUUUCUGUUGUGUAUGUGCUGUUCAACAGCACAUACAGCAUUAAAUUAAGAACUAAUGACCUAUAGGAAGGUCUCAAGGCCUUUUUGUUUUAUUCCAUUCCUGGUUUAAUGAGGCCUUUUCUCAAACAUUGGAAAGUGAUCUUAACCUUGAAUUGGACAAUGAUUUGUUGAAUACAAAAUGUAACCGUAUUAAUAUUGUCUCCAUAUCAAGGAAUGCAAGGUAACUCCUUAUUCCAGAAUGCAGCGUGUUCACGACUGCAACGCAGUUAAACCACAAUGUCUUGUUUUCUCUUUCAGGUUUCAGUACCGCAUAAAGAAAAUAAAUAACCAAGAAGCAAAUUGCUUUUCAUUUCUUUUAGUAGUAAUUGUCGUUGACCAGUAACGUCUUUUUCCCACGAGGGAUUCAUCACAUUUUUCAAGUUACCAUCGAUGAACAUACUGCGACAAGGGGUGUGAUUGCUGUCGGUGCAUGAGAGACAAAAGUGUUUUCAUGCACAACAUAAGCUUGUUGUGUUUUCAGGAGGGAAGGGUGAUCACAUGGACACACAGGAGGUGCAGCAGGCAACGCACCGCAUUGUCCAUGCAAAGCUACCGCGAGCAAUCAGACGGUAUUAGAGUACAAGACAGAGCGCAAGUGAGGGGAAGGCCGUUUUCCUGCCACAUUAACCUUACUGACUUACUUACUGACAUCCCAGUAAGCUGAUUACGUCCCCACAGGUGUCCUAUUUAAUUAAGUGUUUGUUUAGCUUAAAUGUCCUGCCCACAAGUGGCUCUGAAUCUUUCAGUCAGUGUUUCUGACUGAUCAGUUUACCCUCAGCAGCAGCUGAGUGUCGAGUGGUCUCUGCGCUGAGAAAUGUCCUCCCCUCAGCCUCGUUCUGUCCCGACCGCAGAGGGAGACUAAACAAACCAGUCGAGGCGUUUCACGGAAAUAAUUAGGCCUAGUGCUGUACCACGAAUGGAAGAACUAAUCCUUUCUACUGAUCAAUCUAAUGUAUAGGGCCUCCAUGAAAUAUCCAUAUGUGCGCACACAGUUAUCUUAAUUAAAAUACUUUCAAUUCUUAUUGUCUCACAGUGUUUAUGAUGUCAACUCAUUGUUCUGAGACAAUAAUGAAGCAGGUUUUCACUUCCACACAAUUCCUGUGUGUUAUUCCGAGACACGGCUGUACUUGGACACUCAAACCUGUUCUCUGUAACUCUACAUAACACCUAUUGUAAUUCUAGCUCUGUUCUUUAUACCGUGUUUAUUUACUUCAUCUCUAAGUCGUCUGCUUUGUACAGAAUGUGGGUAAUUAGACCGUGAGUUGCACUGGGCCUGCAGUUAGCUCUGUAGGAAGAAGCAGUGACUCAUCAGAAGCUCGUUUCCUCCUUCUAUGAAUAGAAUUUCUUCACUAGUUUGAACAACCGUUAAGAAUCAGUGUACAAAGCCAUCUCAUUUAUUCUUGUUUUGUUUUUUGACUUGUUGACUUGGUUUGUACUUCUCAGAUGCAAUAUCUAAAUUGAAUCUAAUGUUUUUACCAUCCAAGUUAAAGUGUAAAUGUAAAGUUUGAAAAGGUUAUUCAGGCUUUUUUUUUAAGUCUAAUGCAGGAAAUUGAGCUCUUAGUUCUUUGUUCUUUUAUUCAAAAUAAACUUUUGAAAGCUUGAAGUUAAAAUGUCUCUCUUGGUCUACCAGCUCAAGUGGUCCUGUUUGGUUUCCGUAGACCUAAAGAUGAAUACAUUUUAAUGCAAAUGGGGCACAGGGACGUCUUGAGGCUACUUUCUUAGACUGAGGGCUGUGGCGUGAUAGAAAUGAUGGGACAUGGAGGGAGAAGAGGAAUGAGAGGAAUGAAAGACCGGGGGCAGAAGAGAAGGGCAGGGUGCCACCACAAGUGAGUGGUGGUGGUGAUGAUGUGUGUGUGUGUGCGUGUGUGUGUGUAACCUCAGUUAAGGAAGGCUGGUAUUUUUCCAGAGAGGCUUGCUAUGCGCGCGCACACACACACACACACACACACACACGUGUACACUCCAACGCACAUACACACGUGCACACACUGCCCACCUUUAUACUUAUUCUCUUUCCGUCAAUCCAUUUAUGUUCUACUGUCUUCCUUGACUGUGGUUUUCUUCAUUCUUUUUUUACAUCUAACUCCUUCCCCAAGCAUCCAUUGAUAUUUCCCCUCUCAGCGUUGCCUCCACCCUCUUUCCACUUUAAUUUCCUGUUCUCUAUUACUACAUUUCCCUCUCCAUUUCUCCCUCACUCCCCAGCCCUGUCUCUCCUUCCCAUCUUCUCUUCUACCCCAAAGACAUCAAGCCCAGACAGGCACCAAGGGCAACGUCUUCUGGCGGCGCCUUCUUAUUGCGCAAACUGACAUGAUGAAGCUAGGCUGCAAGAAAUGUCCUUGUUUCCCCCUUCCCCCCCCUGGGGUCACAGUACUGUAUAUGAGCAUCCUGAGAUAGAUGCAGUAUGUGUGCGCCAUCAAGUAUGUACAUGCUUGCAUGUGGAAGAGGCCGCAUCCUGGAGUCCAAAAACAGCUGCUCAGCGGCUGCUUGCUUAUGUAAGCCGGUACCAUAAAACACAGCGAAACAAGAAUAUACUGGCGGCCCGGGACGACGGCCCUGGCCUUAGCGCCGCACUGUCAGACCCGUGUUUUGACACUAUAUGGGGGAGACGGAAAAUGCAGAAGGACUGAGUGUUCUGGGAAUGUGAAUACUGUAUAGUUCGUACUACACAGCACUGUUGUCCUAAAGAUGAGGGGAAACAUGAGCCCUGCUGCGCCCCGGUAGCCCACCUGCUGCACAAGGCUCCAUGGGUUGUAAGCGGCAGGUUUCUACCCUGCGCUCUGAGGGAUGCUUCGGUUUUACUUGCCGUGCGAUUUGGAUUGUGACCAAACAGAUCAGGCUAUGGUGUCAUUUUCUAUUAGAUCUUCAAGUGUUAGCCGACUCCGAUUUAGCCUGAAACAGAGGCGGUUACCCGCCAGGCAACCUCUUUGUGUAGACUAAAGGACGUGCAUGCACAUGCAACAUGUGCUGACUGGGAUGCACACGCUCGCAUAGUGAGCAGGGAAUGGCCACGCCGCGUGAAACCCACGUAAUGUGACAGUUAAGGAAUUUAAAAAAUUGCAAUUUGCUUUAGGCUAGCCACAAAUAUUUGCAGCCUGAGUCCAAGAUACUUGUACGUCACUAGCUGUGGAAAUUGUGGAGUGACUAUGAGAUUUAAAAACUUGAAAAGCAAUUAGAUACAUUGAAUGAUGACGAUAUAAUCAUAAAUCAAUUGUU